GAAGCCCAACUCUUCUCAAUUUCCUCUCUUGUUCAACAGUACCAGUACCACCUUCAUCUCCCAAUUAAUCACCUCCGCCCACCUCUCCGAGCACAACCACCAUCAUUAACGCAAUAAUUAAAUCUCUAAUCGCUACCUCUCUCAAUCUUAUCAAGAACAGUAACCCUAGAAGAUAAGUUUUAGAGAGGUAGAGUUAGGGUUAACUGUUACAGCUGGGGGAGCAUCGAUUCAAUGAAGUUGCAGAGGAAUUGAAGACAAGGAAAGUCAAGAAACGCGUUUUGGUACCUGAACUUUUGAUGUGCAAGUCAAGUAGGAGAAGAAAAAGGACCGAAGCAAACUGGGAUUGUCCUGCCUAAACCCGUUUUAUACUGGCGGAAAAUUACGUUCUCGAUGGUCAGGCCCGUUCUUGGUUCGUACUGUUUUCCCUCAUGGAGAUGUUGAAAUCGAAAAUCUAGCAAACAAGAACAUCUUCAAGGUCAAUGGUCAGAGAUCGAAACCAAUUCUGGAGCAUCUUCCACCAGAAGUUGAGACCAUAGACUUGGAAGACCUUGUCUAUGUGGACUAAAGUGGUUCACAUGUGUACAUACAUAUGGAUUACAAAUCCAUUCCCUUUCCCUUUUCUGUUUCUUUUUGCAUAAUUUCUUAUGUGUGCUAACCAAAAUUUUUGUCC